CUUUCAGAAUCAUCUCCUCCUUCCCAGGAACGCAACAGACCCAAAAUCCUCCAACGCGGCGUAGCUGGGCGAUAGCGAGCUUGCCGACGGUGGCGGCGGGCCAGAUCCGGUGCCUAGCUGGGCGAUUGCGCCCAGUGGAGGUCCAGAUCCAGCACCCCACCGUCUUUUCGCCGGCGUCCUGGCUGCCCCGGCAGAUCUCCUCUGUGCGGACAAAUACUCUGCUCCGUCGUCCUGCCCCGGCGGACCGUCUCAAAGGUACUCUUCUCCGACGUCCAGUGGAAAACCUCGCGCAUUCUUCACCCGUCGCUCGCACCCCCGCGUCUAGCUCCGCCAUCUGGGAACGCUGGAGAAGAAAUCUCCGGCCUUCAGGUCGAAGCUCGUCGACUAGUACUAAGUUUGUUUUCCGCUAUUUUGCUGCUACAUCUUGAACUGAAAUGGAGGGAAGUAGUGAGACAUCGCCGUUAGGCGAGCCCACAGUUGCAGUAAUUGCAAAAUUUGUACCAACACUAUCAGAUGCAUGCUGCUCUGACAAGCGGAAACAUCAGGACUACAGAUGGAUAGAAGAAGCUUUUAUCAAAGUCCCCCCUUUCUGACAAUUGAGAGAAUUUCUCUGCAACUUGACUUUAACUCUGUUGUUGAUCAGGCAUCUGCACGUGUCUGCUCAACUGAAUCGUGUUUGCUUGGUGUGAUCUCUCCCAAAACAAGAAGCUUGAUGAACAAGGAGUAGUAGAACAGGAGGGAAAUGCUAGAGCAUUUCUGUUAUGUACCAUCAAGAUACUAGAGCAUAUAAUUAAAUAACAAUGCUUGUUGAAUGGUGAUCAGAUUAGUCCUUAAUGCCUGUUGCUGGCCAUGUACCAAAAAUGGUGCUACCAUGUCUCAUCAAGAUAUUUAUGCUUGUGAUAUGCUCAAUCUGGGCGAGUCCAGUCUGAUGUUUAGUUA